rnacentral:lncRNA from 1 species
UAGAAAAAAAAUUGCAAGGAGUACCUUGCAAUCGUGAAAUCGAUAAAUAUUGCUAAAGAUUUGUAUAUGAUAUAAACUAAUUUAUCAUUAAAUACUUCAAUGUCAGAUUUUUGGUUGUUGCAUACCGCUGGUGGUUCAUACCUUUACAAAUCAUUGUAGAAUUUACAAGAAAUAAGAAAUCUGAAUAAAGAUGACUUCGAGCUGUUUGGCGCUAGUGGAGAGUCUAUUCAGACUGAAGCCAUAGGAACC